UACAACUUCCUGACUCAAAUAAAUCAGAUCCUUUUGUAAAUUGUAGCUUUCGGAAAGCACACCUUCUGUUUAUGAAAUGGUCCAUUUCUACUGAAACGCGUUUUAUUUAUUUUGAAACGUCCUGCCACCCUCCUCCUUUGAGAGGCAAGAUAAGAAAAUGGCUUUAAUAACUGGGACUGAGAUGUAACUCGUUUAUUUUCUGAACAAAAAAAAAUUCAAGGCAGCGGUGGUCUGUGACACCUUUUAAGGGGCCGUGGAUUAAUGGUAAUCGGCCGGCGGCUGAUCCAAUUCGCCGAGGGAAAUGCAGCGUUGGCUUCGGGAAGGGUAAGAACAUGAAUCUAGAUGCGAGCAGAAGCUUACAGCUUUGAAGACCUCAGCUGGAACAUCAUCAGGUCCACAGGCUUUGAACUUUUUUAUGCAUUUGAUUGGUUGUUGAAGCUCUCCAACUGAAUAUUAAACAGCCUAUAGCAGAAAGAGCCUCACGAGGAGGGAAAUCUGCCCCUUGCUGGAGAAGACUAGGACCGCUUCUUCAGGGAUGCU